CUAGAGGUACAUUUCCCAUCGCCAUGACAACCAGUACGAAUAUUGUCAGCGCUGACGCGGCGGAUAGUACUAUGUUGAAUAUGAGACCGGCGAUAAUACCUAUAAAUGACGUAACAAGCGCCUGUAAAUAAAAACAUGAUGAUGAACAAGCAAAUACAAAAGUUAGCAAGCAAACAGACAAACAAAAGGACAAAAGAAAAAACAGACGGAGUAAGUAAAGUCUAAGUCCUCUAGAGCAGGGUUUUGCUAAGCAGAAAAGUCUAAUCUUUAUGUGCAUACUAAAGUAAGAGCGCACUUGACAUGGUGAUCACAUCGCGGUCUGUCUUCACCUUUUACCACAGGGUACCCGUAUAUUAAUAUUAGAGUACAACGCCUGGUCCUGUUCUCUAUGAAUAGGCGAUUUGCAGGCUAAAUUGAAGCUAGAAUUGAAUUAAAGGCAAAAUAAAAACAACAACAAAAGUGCCCAGGGGUAAUGUUACGGUC